GUGCCUUUUUAGCUCUAAGAGGCUAAUACAGAGAAGGAUAAAAUAAGUCUGCAUAAAGUCUAGAGAAGAGAUUGUAAAACUCCUCUUUGAAUCCUGUCUGGAGUCACAACU